rnacentral:rRNA from 1 species
AUACGGAGGGUGCAAGCGUUAAUCGGAAUUACUGGGCGUAAAGCGUACGUAGGCGGUUUAUUAAGUCAGAUGUGAAAGCCCCGGGCUUAACCUGGGAACUGCAUUUGAAACUAGUAGACUAGAGUAUGGUAGAGGGGGGUAGAAUUCCUAGUGUAGCGGUGAAAUGCGUAGAUAUUAGGAGGAAUACCAGUGGCGAAGGCGGCCCCCUGGACCAAUACUGACGCUGAGGUGCGAAAGCGUGGGGAGCAAACAGGAUUAGAAACCCGAGUAGUCC